AUUGAACGCUGGCGGCAUGCCUUACACAUGCAAGUCGAACGGUAACGGGCCUUCGGGUGCCGACGAGUGGCGAACGGGUGAGUAAUGUAUCGGAACGUACCAUUGAGUGGGGGAUAACGUAGCGAAAGUUACGCUAAUACCGCAUAUUCUCUCCGGAGGAAAGCAGGGGACCGCAAGGCCUUGCGCUCUUUGAGCGGCCGAUAUCAGAUUAGCUAGUUGGUGGGGUAAAAGCUCACCAAGGCGACGAUCUGUAGCGGGUCGGAGAGGAUGAUCCGCCACACUGGAACUGAGACACGGUCCAGACUCCUACGGGAGGCAGCAGUGGGGAAUUUUGGGCAAUGGGGGCAACCCUGAUCCAGCCAUGCCGCGUGAGUGAAGAAGGCCUUCGGGUUGUAAAGCUCUUUCAGCCGGGAGGAAAUCGCAUGGGCUAAUACCCCGUGCGGAUGACGGUACCGGAAUAAGAAGCACCGGCUAACUACGUGCCAGCCGCCGCCGUAA
rnacentral:rRNA from 1 species